rnacentral:misc_RNA from 1 species
CACCCAUCAAGCCCCCGGCUUGUGUUGGGGACCUGCGGCUGCCGCAGGCCCUGAAAACCAGUGGCGGGCUCGCUGUCACACCGAGCGUAGUAAUAUCAUCUCGCUCAGGGCGUGCUGCGGGUUCCGGCCGUUAAACGACCUUUCUAACCCAA